GACGAACGCUGGCGGCGUGCCUAAUACAUGCCAGUCGAACGCACAGUUUAUACCGUAGCUUGCUACACCAUAGACUGUGAGUUGCGAACGGGUGAGUAACGCGUAGGUAACCUGCCUGGUAGCGGGGGAUAACUAUUGGAAACGAUAGCUAAUACCGCAUCAUAUUGAUUAUUGCAUGAUAAUUGAUUGAAAGAUGCUAUUGCAUCACUACCAGAUGGACCUGCGUUGUAUUAGCUAGUAGGUGAGGUAACGGCUCACCUAGGUGACGAUACAUAGCCGACCUGAGAGGGGGAUCGGCCACACUGGGACUGAGACACGGCCCAGACGCCUACGGGAGGCAGCAGUAGGGAAUCUUCGGCAAUGGACGAAAGUCUGACCGAGCAACGCCGCGUGAGUGAAGAAGGGUUUCGGAUCGUAAAGCUCUGUUGUAAGAGAAGAACGGGUGUGAGAGUGGAAAGUUCACACUGUGACGGUAGCUUACCAGAAAGGGACGGCUAACUACGUG
rnacentral:rRNA from 1 species